AUGGUGCUUGCGCCUGAUUGACGAUGGAUCACCAGUGAGUGGCGGACGGGUGAGUAACACGUAGGUAACCUGCCCCGGAGCGGGGGAUAACAUUUGGAAACAGAUGCUAAUACCGCAUAACAACAAAAGCCACAUGGCUUUUGUUUGAAAGAUGGCUUUGGCUAUCACUCUGGGAUGGACCUGCGGUGCAUUAGCUAGUUGGUAAGGUAACGGCUUACCAAGGCGAUGAUGCAUAGCCGAGUUGAGAGACUGAUCGGCCACAAUGGAACUGAGACACGGUCCAUACUCCUACGGGAGGCAGCAGUAGGGAAUCUUCCACAAUGGGCGCAAGCCUGAUGGAGCAACACCGCGUGAGUGAAGAAGGGUUUCGGCUCGUAAAGCUCUGUUGUUGGAGAAGAACGUGCGUGAGAGUAACUGUUCACGCAGUGACGGUAUCCAACCAGAAAGUCACGGCUAACUACGUGCCAGCAGCCGCGGUAAUACGUAGGUGGCAAGCGUUAUCCGGAUUUAUUGGGCGUAAAGCGAGCGCAGGCGGUUGCUUAGGUCUGAUGUGAAAGCCUUCGGCUUAACCGAAGAAGUGCAUCGGAAACCGGGCGACUUGAGUGCAGAAGAGGACAGUGGAACUCCAUGUGUAGCGGUGGAAUGCGUAGAUAUAUGGAAGAACACCAGUGGCGAAGGCGGCUGUCUGGUCUGCAACUGACGCUGAGGCUCGAAAGCAUGGGUAGCGAACAGGAUUAGAUACCCUGGUAGUCCAUGCCGUAAACGAUGAGUGCUAGGUGUUGGAGGGUUUCCGCCCUUCAGUGCCGGAGCUAACGCAUUAAGCACUCCGCCUGGGGAGUACGACCGCAAGGUUGAAACUC
rnacentral:rRNA from 1 species